rnacentral:sRNA from 1 species
AUAGUCAUUAGCUGUUAACAACUAGAUCAAGCAUAUCACAUGUUUACAUAUCCCAAUUUAAAUGUUCCUCCUAAACAACUAUAUGAUAUUCUUAAAGAAAACAUCAUUUAAACUGAAACGAUGUAGAUUCGAAGAGAAUUUUAUUUUGUAGUGCCAUUAUUUCUGUUACAUUUCUGAAAGACAAUUUGAGAGCCUCAGACUUACUCGGUACGACACUGGCAUUUGCAGGAACAUAUUUACUGGUGAACUUUGCUCCAAAUAUAACUCAGGCAAUCUCAGCAAGAACAGUACAGUAUUACCUUGUCGGAUGGCAGUUCCUGAUCUAUGUGACAGAUGUCUGUUUUUCCUUCAAGAUUUACAUUAAAUGGAAGCCUCACAGAGACAAGGCUCAGGAGCUUUUCCUCUGAUCUGGUACAGAAAAGAAAGGAAGGAAGAUUUGAGAAGCCCAGUGUAUACCAGCCAGAGGAGAAUAAAGUGCACUCACUAAAACAGCCUUUCCCAGCCUGUCUGCUGCAGACGGGCAAUCCCCAUCCUUGCCAAAACGCAAAGAGGAGUGGAGUUUUCAAGGUCAAACUAGAUUUCAGAAAUAUUAAUUUUCUGCAUUCUCCUGUAUUUCUAUAAAAGAAAAGGAAUGAAGCAUAUGGUGAUUCUGCUGACCCUGGUGGCAAUUCUAGCCUCAUUGACUGUUAUUUCAGUAAAGGCCGUCUCAGGCAUGAUCACUUUUUCUAUGAUGGAUAAAAUGCAACUAACUUACCCCAUUUUCUAUAUCAUGUUUAUCAUCAUGAUAGCAUCUUGUGUUUUCCAAGUCAAGUUCCUGAAUCAAGCCACGAAACUCUACAAUACAACAACAGUGGUGCCAGUUAAUCAUAUUUUCUUUACAAUCAGUGCCAUCAUUGCAGGUAUCAUAUUUUAUCAGGAAUUCCUUGGUGCUGCUUUUCUCACUGUAUUUAUAUAUCUUUUUGGGUGUUUUCUGUCAUUCCUUGGUGUAUUUUUGGUCACAAGAAAUCGAGAAAAGGAACAUCUGCAACAGUCUUAUAUUGAUUUUGGAAAUAUUCCUGGGAAACAAAUGUUGGACAAAAUACAACCAGAUUCACAUAGCUUAUCCUAUGGAACUUUGCCUGAUGGAAGUGACUCAACAAAGAGCCAAAGUGGAGAGAAGAAAGAGGUCUAAAUGCUGAGAGGGAUGGCUGUUGGCCUGUUAUUCGAUACCACCUUUUUAAAAAAUUGCAUAUGUUCAAUUUGUGUCAGCAGCUCUUUUAUAAGCUGACAUGUGCUAGCAUUCAUUUCAGUCCUUUCCCCCACCUCAGCUUCUAUGGACAAUCGGGGACUUCCUAAGCUCUGACAGUCUAAUAUUUCCAUGGAAUGUGAUUUGGAGUGUUCCCCACACCCUG